AAAGUCGUAACAAGGUUUCCGUAGGUGAACCUGCGGAAGGAUCAUUAUUGAAUUAUGUUUCUAGAUGGGUUGUAGCUGGCUCUUUGGAGCAUGUGCACACCUGUUUGGAUUUCAUUUUCAUCCACCUGUGCACCUAUUGUAGUCUUUGGUUUGGGUAUUGAGGAAGUGGUCAGCCUAUCAGCAUUUGCUGGAUGUGAGGAGUUUGCAGUGUGAAAGCAUUGCUGUCCUUUACUUGGCCAUGGAGUCUUUUGCCUACCAGAGUCUAUGUCAUUCAUUAUACCCUGUCGAAUGUUAUCGAAUGUCUUUACAUGGGCUUUCAUGCCUAUGAAAAUUAUAAUACAACUUUCAGCAACGGAUCUCUUGGCUCUC
rnacentral:misc_RNA from 1 species